rnacentral:snRNA from 1 species
AUACUCUGAUUUCUCUUGAGGUUGUAUAAAUCGUUCACCUUUUACCAAAGAUUUCUGUGGAGAGGAAUACCUUGACAGACAAGUGUAUGUCUGCACUUGUCCUCUUCUUGGUGACCCCACCACUUUUGGGGAG